rnacentral:rRNA from 1 species
GGGGUAAGCCGUAGGGAGAGUUAUAGGCAAAUCCGUAACUCACAUAUCCUGAGAGCUGACGCCGAGCCGAUUAUGGCGAAGUGGAUGAUCCUAUGCUGCCGAGAAAAGCCUCUAGCGAGUGUCGUUGCGGCCCGUACCCCAAACCGACUCAGGUGUUCAGGUAGAGAAUACUAAGGCGAUCGAGAUAACCAUGGUUAAGGAACUCGGCAAAAUGCCCCCGUAACUUCGGGAGAAGGGGGGCCGCGGUUUGUGUAGAGAUUUACUCUCGAAGCAGAUUGCGGCCGCAGAGACUAGGCUGAAGCGACUGUUUACUAAAAACACAGGUCCAUGCGAAGUCGCAAGACGAUGUAUAUGGACUGACGCCUGCCCGGUGCUGGAAGGUUAAGGGGACCGGUUAGCCGCAAGGCGAAGCUGAGAACUUAAGCCCCAGUAAACGGCGGUGGUAACUAUAACCAUCCUAAGGUAGCGAAAUUCCUUGUCGGGUAAGUUCCGACCUGCACGAAUGGCGUAACGACUUCAGCGCUGUCUCAACCGUGGACUCGGCGAAAUUGCACUACGAGUAAAGAUGCUCGUUACGCGCGGAAAGACGGAAAGACCCCGGGACCUUUACUAUAGUUUGGUAUUGAUGUUCGAUUCGAUUUAUGUAGGAUAGGUGGGAGACUUUGAAGCCAAGACGCCAGUUUUGGUGGAGUCAAUCUUGAAAUACCACUUUGAUCGUGUUGAAUGUCUAACCUAGGUCCGUAAUCCGGAUCAGGGACAGUGCCUGAUGGGUAGUUUAACUGGGGCGGUUGCCUCCUAAAAUGUAACGGAGGCGCUCAAAGGUUCCCUCAGCCUGGUUGGUAAUCAGGUGUCGAGUGUAAAUGCACAAGGGAGCUUGACUGUGAGAUCGACGGAUCGAGCAGGGACGAAAGUCGGAAUUAGUGAUCCGGCGCCGGCAAGUGGAAGCGGCGUCGCUCAACGGAUAAAAGGUACCCCGGGGAUAACAGGCUGAUCUUGCCCGAGAGUCCAUAUCGACGGCAUGGUUUGGCACCUCGAUGUCGGCUCGUCGCAUCCUGGGGCUGGAGUUGGUCCCAAGGGUUGGGCUGUUCGCCCAUUAAAGCGGCACGCGAGCUGGGUUUAGAACGUCGUGAGACAGUUCGGUCCCUAUCUUCCGCGCGCGUAAGAGUCUUGAGAAGGGCUGCCCCUAGUACGAGAGGACCGGGGUGGACGAACCUCUGGUGUGCCAGUUGUCCUGCCAAGGGCACGGCUGGUUGGCUACGUUCGGAAGGGAUAACCGCUGAAAGCAUCUAAGCGGGAAGCCUGCUUCAAGAUGAGGACUCUCACUGUUUAUCAGGUAAGGCCCCCAGUAGAUGACUGGGUUGAUAGGCCGGAGGUGGAAGUGCGGCAACGCAUGGAGCUGACCGGUACUAAUAGGCCGAGGACUUGUCUCU